ACUCCAAAGUUAAGCGAGUUGGGGCUAGAGCACUCCCAUGAUGGGUGACCUACUGGGAAGUUGCUCGUGAGUUCCCAAAACAAAACCGUGAGGGAAUGGUAAGCCCAAAGAGGACAAUAUCGUGCUAUGAUGAUGGAACGGGCCCGGGAUGUGGUGGACCCGGGCCGGGAUGUGACAAUAACCGACAAGAAACAUAUAUUACUGUUGGAUUUUAAGCAACAUCUGAUAGAAAAUGGAUGCAGUGGCGGAUAUAAUAAGUGACAGAAUUACCAGCGUCAAGAAAUGAAUUUUUAGACAUAAGUGUUCUAAACAGCGGCCUAGGCGCUGAGCGGUGGUUGUCAUAUCCGAUUUAGAACAAAUCGUUUACAAAAUCGGUGAGGAGCCAGGCGGCCGAGUAGGCGCUCGAUAGGCGCUCUAGGCGGUCUGCGGCGCUAGGCGGCAUGUCUAGGCAAAUUGAUACUGGUCUUUUUCCAUCGCCAGCGCCUCUGCAACUCUGGUCUUCUGUUCCAUGCCCUCUCGUCUUAGGCAGACUCGUAUAUGCAAAUCAACUAUCUGGAUACUAGACUUGACGAAGAAGGGAACUUACAGAGAAAAAUAUAAGAAGUAUAUGUGAGUGAUGAGGAAGAGAAAAUGGAAAACAACCCAGAUUGAAGAAGAAGAAGAUGUUCGAGAGAGGACGAAGAUGUGCGAGAGAGACUUCUCUAGUGAUGUGAAAGAGGCGUUGGAAAACAACCCACUUUACUGUAUUUGUUCCCCACUAUGCCUUACCAUUAAUCAUUAAAUAAUAUAAUUGAUUUUUUUAAUCUUUUCUCUACUAUUACAUAUUGAGACUUCUCUGGUGAUGGGAAAUAGGGGUUGGAGAUAGGGGUCAGACGAGAUUUUAUCUCUUCCCAUUUAAAAAAAAUCUUAAAAAUCCAAUAUUAUAUCACUUAUUUUGAAAUAUCUUAAAUUACUAUUUUAUCUUUAUUAUUUUAUUUUAAAACCCUAAAACAGGGAGAAGAAGUUCUUCAGCUUUUGAAAACUUCGCAUUUUGCACUUUCUGACGUAUAUGUAUGUAUGUAUUUUAUAUA
rnacentral:lncRNA from 1 species